rnacentral:rRNA from 1 species
AGCUACGUCCGGCAGAGAUAACCGCUGAAAGCAUCUAAGUGGGAAACUCGUCUCAAGAUUAGAUCCCUCCUCUUUAUGAGAUAAGACCGCUGGAAGACUACCAGCUUGAUAGGCGGCAGGUGUAAGCGCAGUAAUGUGUUCAGCUUAGCCGUACUAAUGGUCGAAAGGCUUACAUUG